rnacentral:rRNA from 1 species
CGUUGUUGCAGUUAAAAAGCUCGUAGUUGAAAUGAAGGGUAGUUGUGUAAUGAAUACAUUCGUGUAUUUUGUUAUUCUACUACCCUCCUUCUAAAUUCGAUAUAUGAGUAUUAAUUUACUUGUAUAUGGUUUUAGACUUUUACUGUGAGAAAAUUAGAGUGUUCAAAGCAGGCAUUUGCUUGAAUAUAUUAGCAUGGAAUAAUCAUGUAUGAUUUUCAUGAUGUAUUUGAUUGGUUUGGUUCAUGAGAAUAAGAUUAAAAGGGACAGUUGGGGGUAUUCAUAUUCAAUAGUCAGAGGUGAAAUUCUCGGAUUUAUGGAAGAUGAACAAGUGCGAAAGCAUUUACCAAGGAUGUUUUCAUUAAUCAA